CGGGGGGGCAAGCGUUGUUCGGAAUUACUGGGCGUAAAGGGUGCGUAGGCGGCUUUCUAAGUUGGAUGUGAAAACUCUGGGCUCAACCCAGAGCCUGCAUCCAAAACUGGAGAGCUUGGGUUCUGGAGGGGAAAGCGGAAUUCCUGGUGUAGCGGUGAAAUGCGUAGAUAUCAGGAGGAACACCGGUGGCGAAGGCGGCUUUCUGGACAGAUACCGACGCUGAGGCACGAAAGCUAGGGGAGCAAACAGGAUUAGAUACCCUGGUAGUCCUAGCCCUAAACGAUGGAUACUUGCUGUGAGGGGGAUUGAAACCCCUUGUGGCGAAGCUAACGCAUUAAGUAUCCCGCCUGGGGAGUACGGUCGCAAGGCUG
rnacentral:rRNA from 1 species